AUUUUAUGUACCGCGUUAACCAUACUGUGUCUGUGAAUAGAUGUAUCUUUAAGAGAUUCCUUUAAUAUCAAUUAUUGACCAUGAUCGUACGGUUUGGGUUUAUGGAGGAAGAUUUUGGAUCACAGAAUGACGUAUUCCCACCAGCAGUUAAUGUGACGACAUGUCACUAUAGAAUGGAAUGUGCCUGGCCUGGAUCAGUGUUAUUAUGACCUAUUUUUUCUUGCACUCGGUAAUUUCUUGAUGUGUUGUUAUGAGUUUGAACAUUAUGUGUGCUACAUAAAUGAGCACACAAGGUGCAUUGCUCAGCAUCCUUAUUUUU
rnacentral:sRNA from 1 species